CAAUGUAUGCUUUGGAAACUGUUAGACUUGAGUGCAGAAGGGGAGAGUGGAAUUCCAUGUGUAGCGGUGAAAUGCGUAGAUAUAUGGAGGAACACCGGUGGCGAAAGCGGCUCUCUGGUCUGUCACUGACGCUGAGGCUNGAAAGCGUGGGUAGCGAACAGGAUUAGAUACCCUGGUAGUNCACGCCGUAAACGCUGAGUGCUAGGUGUUAGGUCCUUUCCGGGACUUAGUGCCGACGCUAACGCAUUAAGCACUCCGCCUGGGGAGUACGACCGCAAGGUUGAAACUCAAAGGAAUUGACGGGGGCCCGCACAAGCGGUGGAGCAUGUGGUUUAAUUCGAAGCAACGCGAAGAACCUUACCAGGUCUUGACAUCCCGAUGCCCGCUCUAGAGAUAGAGUUUUUCUUCGGAACAUCGGAGACAGGUGGUGCAUGGUUGUCGUCAGCUCGUGUCGUGAGAUGUUGGGUUAAGUCCCGCAACGAGCGCAACCCUUAUUGUUAGUUGCCAUCAUUAAGUUGGGCACUCUAGCGAGACUGCCGGUAAUAAACCGGAGGAAGGUGGGGAUGACGUCAAAUCAUCAUGCCCCUUAUGACCUGGGCUACACACGUGCUACAAUGGUUGGUACAACGAGUCGCAAGCCGGUGACGGCAAGCUAAUCUCUGAAAGCCAAUCUCAGUUCGGAUUGUAGGCUGCAACUCGCCUACAUGAAGUCGGAAU
rnacentral:rRNA from 1 species